CUGCCCAGUUUGCUCAGCACAUUGAAGGCGUGCAAGCAUCAUCAUCCAAUGACACACUACUCUUACUUCGGGGGAGACUCAUCAUCCGACUUCAACUCUGACUACGGUAGUAGUUACGCCUACUCCUCGGGCGGGGGUACGGCAAGGAUUGGCCUUCGAACCGAGCCUACACGAUCUCUAAGCACAGGCCUACUGCUUCACCAGUUUACAUAACUGCACCUGGUG
rnacentral:misc_RNA from 1 species